GGCCUGUUAGUUCAGUUGGUUAGAGCGUGGUACCAAUAAUACCAAGGUCCAGGGUUCGAUUCCUGCACAGGCCA